GGGUUGUUUUUUUUUUUUUUUUUUUUUUUUUUUUUCUAAACAAAACUUUACAAUUUUAUGAAAUCCUCAACGACGAAGACAAAACGGUCAGAGGCGACAAAAAUUUAAUGAUUUUUUCUUUUUACGUACCCACGUAUUAUUAUUAUUCUGGAUCGGAUUACUCGCAGAGAGCUAAAAACAACACUGUUUUUAAUUUGAAUAAUAUAAUAGAAUAAUAUAAUUGUCACGAGUCCGAAACCGAAUAGCGCGCUAUACACCUAGAUAAAUAAAGUAAUUUAAUCUACAAUUAAAAAAUACGUAUAGUAUUUUAUACAUUGUGUUUUAAUUUUGUAUUCUUCGCUACACACAGGAUCUAUUGGUUUUACUAAAAAAAAAAAACGGAAAAUAUAAGAAAAGUAGGUAUGAGAUAAAAUCUAUUACGGCCUUUUUUUUUUUUUUUUUUUUUUUUUUGACACAACUUUUUUACCAGCACUUUUGUUCCAACUUUUAAAGAACGCUAGUGAAAUUUCCUUUCGGUAACAUAGCUAUAUUUUGCAGGUACUUUAGAGACGUCAUUUUUCGAGUUGCCAAGAGUUGUCUCGAAAAACGCGAAUAACCGGGAAAUUCGGUGCAAUAUUAAAUAAAUAUUAUUAAAGAAAAUAUCAAAUGUCUAUAUAAUUAUG